CUCGCCAUAAAGCAAACCUGUUCAUUGAUUUAUCUUUAUUUCGCAGGUUAAUGGAACAUAAAUCACAGAGGAUCUUCAUUGUUCGGAGCUGUCAGAGGGAAGAACGGAGAAAAGAGGUCGUCUAAUCCGCACGACAAAGCCUUCGACUUCACCUAGAUGUCAUAGACCCAUCCCUGACAAUGUGCUCGCCACACUUCGCUCAGGACAAUUGACACACUCAAGCAUCCCGAGUCAGAGUCGGCAAGCUCAUAUGGCAGUUUGAGGGAAGUCGGUGAGGGCUUCAUUUUUAAGUUUCCUCAAGGAUUGAUGGAAUGGAAUUGGAGAAUUACUGAGAGGAAUUAAUUUUCGUGAUCUUGGACUUUGAAAUUGAGCAACAUGCAUCGGAUUGCGUGCCGGUGAUGUGUGGUUUUUGUGGAGUUGAUGCUGUCAUUUGUGCUAGUCCCGAAGCAAGAGAAGUGCAUGCAGGCCUUGAUAUGUGUUGGUAGCAACUGCCAGUGUGCAAGAAGCAGAUCACAAUGCAGCAGUGUUAUCAUGGCCAACAGAAUUCAGACAAAAACAUUCUGGUAAGUGGUUUGUAUUAAUAAAAAUAUUCAUAAUUGUACAUGACAGUGAUGUCAUAAAUUCACAUUCUACGUAACGCUAUACUGCUUUCAUAUCAGGGCCAUGUCUUAAGCCCCUUUCACGAUUGGUCUGAGACCACUUGCGACCUUUUGGUCUCACAAAAGGCUACAACAGGCAUUAAUUGCUAUCUAUCUGCAACUGCAACAAUUGUACAACAAAAGCAAAAAGUAAUUCUCAUUUAUUCAUGCAAAGCUCAUGCGAGUGGCCUUGCAUUCACAGGAGAUUGUUG